CGCCUCAUAGAGCAGCAAAGGCCAGAUCAGGUAUGCAAAUCUUUAAGUCUGAUAACCCCAAAUCCUUAGUUACAGUAAUAGUAGAGGAAAUAAGAUAUGCCACUGAGAAGAUAGGGAAACAGAGCUCCACAGUGUGACUUCCUCAAGCAACACAAGACAUCUCAGGAAGAGAAACACAGCCUUGUCUGGAUGCUGCCAUUUCAGUCCACAUGCACAUGAGCUGUGAAGGAUGAGGAUCACAAGGAUGGCCAAUACACAUCUCCUAGGUGCUCCAACAACAUCACUGCAAACGUUUCCAGACAGAGAAAAAGAGCCAGCAACUGCCAUUCUCAUUCUCCCCACAGCUUGGAGGAAGGACAG
ensembl:lncRNA